rnacentral:rRNA from 1 species
UACGUAGGGUGCGAGCGUUAAUCGGAAUUACUGGGCGUAAAGCGUGCGCAGGCGGUUUUGUAAGCCAGAUGUGAAAUCCCCGGGCUUAACCUGGGAAUGGCAUUUGGGGACUGCAAGGCUUGAGUGCGGCAGAGGAGACUGGAAUUCCUGGUGUAGCAGUGAAAUGCGUAGAUAUCAGGAGGAACACCGAUGGCGAAGGCAGGUCUCUGGGCUGACACUGACGUUUCAUGCACGAAAGCGUGGGGAGCAACAGG